rnacentral:rRNA from 1 species
ACCGGAUAGGACGAAAGUUUAAAGGUGCUUCGGCACCACUGAUGGAUGAGCCUGCGGCGCAUUAGCUAGUUGGUAGGGUAAAGGCCUACCAAGGCGACGAUGCGUAGCCGACCUGAGAGGGUGAACGGCCACACUGGGACUGAGACACGGCCCAGACUCCUACGGGAGGCAGCAGUAGGGAAUCUUCGGCAAUGGGCGAAAGCCUGACCGAGCAACGCCGCGUGAAUGAUGAAGGCCUUCGGGUUGUAAAAUUCUGUUAUAAGGGAAGAAUGGCUCUAGUAGGAAAUGGCUAGAGUGUGACGGUACCUUAUGAGAAAGCCACGGCUAACUACGUGCCAGCAGCCGCGGUAAUACGUAGGUGGCGAGCGUUAUCCGGAAUUAUUGGGCGUAAAGAGCGCGCAGGUGGUUGAUUAAGUCUGAUGUGAAAGCCCACGGCUUAACCGUGGAGGGUCAUUGGAAACUGGUCAACUUGAGUGCAGAAGAGGGAAGUGGAAUUCCAUGUGUAGCGGUGAAAUGCGUAGAGAUAUGGAGGAACA